rnacentral:rRNA from 1 species
GACGAACGCUGGCGGCGUGCUUAACACAUGCAAGUCGAACGAGAGCGUAGAGAAAGCUUGCUUUUUCUACAAUCUAGUGGCAAACGGGUGAGUAACGCGUAAACAACCUGCCCUACGGAUGGGGACAACAGCUGGAAACGGCUGCUAAUACCGAAUACGUUCCGAAAGUCGCAUGACUAUCGGAAGAAAGGAUGGCCUCUAUUUAUAAGCUAUCGCCGGAGGAGGGGUUUGCGUCUGAUUAGCUAGUUGGAGGGGUAACGGCCCACCAAGGCGACGAUCAGUAGCCGGUCUGAGAGGAUGAACGGCCACAUUGGAACUGAGACACGGUCCAGACUCCUACGGGAGGCAGCAGUGGGGAAUCUUCCGCAAUGGGCGAAAGCCUGACGGAGCAACGCCGCGUGAGUGAAGACGGCCUUCGGGUUGUAAAGCUCUGUUAUACGGGACGAAUAAUCUUGUGGUUAAUACCCAUGAGAAGUGACGGUACCGUAAGAGAAAACCACGGCUAACUACGU